CCUACGGGAGGCAGCAGUGGGGAAUAUUGGACAAUGGGGGGAACCCUGAUCCAACCAUGCCGCGUGUGUGAAGAAGGCCCUCGGGUUGUAAAGCACUUUCAGUGAGGAAGAACGCCUGGUGGUUAAUACCCAUCAGGAAAGACAUCACUCACAGAAGAAGCACCGGCUAACUCCGUGCCAGCAGCCGCGGUAAUACGGAGGGUGCGAGCGUUAAUCGGAAUUACUGGGCGUAAAGCGCGCGUAGGUGGCUUGAUAAGCCGGUUGUGAAAGCCCCGGGCUCAACCUGGGAACGGCAUCCGGAACUGUCAAGCUAGAGUGCAGGAGAGGAAGGUAGAAUUCCCGGUGUAGCGGUGAAAUGCGUAGAGAUCGGGAGGAAUACCAGUGGCGAAGGCGGCCUUCUGGACUGACACUGACACUGAGGUGCGAAAGCGUGGGUAGCAAACAGGAUUAGAUACCCCUGUAGUC
rnacentral:rRNA from 1 species